ACCAACUUUACUGUCACUGCCAAAGCAGCUGAUGAUGCAGAUUUUGGUGAGCUCUACAUUGUGAAAUGGACUACACUUUUAAUCCCUCCAACAACACUCCUCAUCGUCAACAUGGUUGGUGUCGUUGCCGGAUUCUCUGAUGCCCUCAACAAAGGGUACGAAGCUUGGGGACCACUCUUUGGCAAAGUGUUCUUUUCCUUCUGGGUCAUCCUCCAUCUUUAUCCAUUCCUCAAAGGUCUUAUGGGACGGCAAAACAGGACACCAACCAUUGUUGUCCUUUGGUCAGUGUUGUUGGCUUCUGUCUUUUCUCUUGUUUGGGUUCGGAUCAACCCGUUUGUCAGCACCGCCGAUAGCACCACCGU
rnacentral:lncRNA from 1 species